GCCAGUGUUGAUCAGUGGCUGUCCAGGCCUUUCAGAGCCACUGACACGCCGGCAGCACAAUGAGGAUGUCACUGACUCUACUGCUGGCCACCCUGGGGCUCCUUGUUCAGGAUUCAUCAGGAGAAAUCAUCCUGACUCAGUCUCCUAAAGCUCAGUCUGUUGUUCCAGGACAGACUGUCUCUAUCAGAUGUAAAGCCAGUUCAGGUGUUACCAAUGAUUUGCAGUGGUACCUUCAGAAACCUGGAGAAGCUCCUAAACUCCUCAUUUAUAAUGCUCAGUCCCGUCAGUCUGGAGUUUCAGAGCGUUUCAGUGGGAGUCAGUCUGGAACUGACUUCACUUUGACCAUCAGUGGAGUUCAGACUGAAGAUGCAGGAGUUUAUUACUGUCAGCAGGAUUACAGCAGACCGUUCACACAGUGAAAAAGUGUCAUACAA